rnacentral:rRNA from 1 species
UACGUAGGGUCCGAGCGUUGUCCGGAAUUAUUGGGCGUAAAGAGCGUGUAGGCGGCUUUACAGGUCCGUUGUGAAAACUCGAGGCUCAACCUCGAGACGCCGGUGGAAACCGUAAAGCUAGAGUCCGGAAGAGGAGAGUGGAAUUCCUGGUGUAGCGGUGAAAUGCGCAGAUAUCAGGAGGAACACCCGUGGCGAAAGCGGCUCUCUGGGACGGUACUGACGCUGAGACGCGAAAGCGUGGGGAGCAAACAGG